AUGGAGUCCUGCCCUGGUCUAACAUUUAUUAACUGGAGCUGGAGCGGCGGAGGCUUGUCUGGAUUCGCCUUCCUUGAGAAGCUAACUAUUUGGAAAUGCCCCGACCUGCUCUCGCCUUUGGUGCACAAAGACGGAAGGGAUGACGAUGCGAACGGGAGAUGGCUCCUCCCGCCAUCACUUGAAGAACUUGAAAUCAAUGACUAUUAUUCCCUCGGAACACUGCAACCCUGCUUUCCUAGAGAUAGCACCAGCCUUAAAAAGUUUGUGGUAGAGUGGGGUCAUGAUUUGCAUACUAUACAGCUGCACUCAUGCACGGCGCUAGAACAAUUGGAGAUUAAAUGGUGUGUGUCCCUCACAGCACUAGAGGGCUUGCAGUUCCUUGGCAGACUCACGCAUUUGGAAGUAUCAUGCUGCCCUGGUUUGGUGCAUGAGGCCAACGGAAGAUGGCUCCUCCCAACAUCACUUCGCCAACUUGAAAUCAACAAUAGCCAUUCCCAACAAACCCUGCAACCUUGCUUUCCUACAGAUAGCACCAGCCUUGAAAGUUUAAAGGUACGGAAGAGCCCAGAUUUGCAAUCUAUACAGUUGCACUCUUGCACAGCACUGGAAGAAUUGACGAUUGGGGAUUGUGGAUCGCUUACUGCACUAGAGGGGUUGCAAUGCCUUGGCAGACUCAGGCAUUUGUAUGUAUCAGAUUGCCCUGGCUUGCCACCAUUUCUGGGGAGCUUUUCAAGGCCGGACUGUGGGAUCUGCCCCCGGCUGGAAAGGCUUGAGAUCGAUGAACCAUCUGUCCUUACCACAUCAUUCUGCAAGCACCUCACCUCCCUGCAAAGCCUACAACUUUAUCGUUUUGAGAAAGUGAGUAGACUAACAGAUGAGCAAGAGCGAGCGCUUGUGCUCCUCAAGUCCCUGAAAGAGCUCCGAUUUUUCUUUUGUUAUGAUCUCGUAGACCUUCCUGCGCGUCUGCGCGACCUUCCUUCCCUCCAGAGAUUGAAGAUAAAGUGGUGUGGGGGCAUCUCGAGGCUGCCCGUCACAGGCCUCCCACUUUCGCUGGAACAACUGGAAAUCUAUGAUUGCAGCAAGGAGCUAACUGAUGAAUGCAGGCUGCUACCACCGAGCAAGCUAAAUGUCAAAAUUGAUUGA
rnacentral:rRNA from 1 species